UACGUAGGGGGCAAGCGUUGUCCGGAAUGACUGGGCGUAAAGCGCGCGCAGGCAGUCUUUUAAGUCUGAGGUGAAAGGCUGGGGCUCAACCCUGGCAUCGCCUUGGAAACGGGAAGACUUGAGGACUGGAGAGGCAAGGGGAAUUCCACGUGUAGCGGUGAAAUGCGUAGAGAUGUGGAGGAAUACCAGUGGCGAAGGCGCCUUGCUGGACAGUGCCUGACGCUGAGGCGCGAAGGCGUGGGGAGCAAACAGGAUUAGAUACCCUGGUAGUCCACGCGGUAAACGAUGAGUGCUAGGUGUCGGAGGGUACCACCUCCGGUGCCGAAGGAAACCCAAUAAGCACUCCGCCUGGGGAGUACGGUCGCAAGACUGAAACUCAAAGGAAUUGACGGGGGCCCGCACAAGCAGUGGAGCAUGUGGUUUAAUUCGAAGCAACGCGAAGAACCUUACCAGGGCUUGACAUCCCCCUGACGGGCCGAGAGAUCGGUCGUCCCUUCGGGGCAGGGGAGACAGGUGGUGCAUGGUUGUCGUCAGCUCGUGUCGUGAGAUGUUGGGUUAAGUCCCGCAACGAGCGCAACCCUUGAUCAGUGUUACCAGCACGUAGUGGUGGGGACUCACUGAUGACUGCCGGUGACAAACCGGAGGAAGGCGGGGAUGACGUCAAAUCAUCAUGCCCCUUAUGUCCUGGGCCACACACGUGCUACAAUGGGCGGUACAACGGGAAGCAAGAGAGCGAUCUGGAGCGAGACCCUAAAAGCCGUUCGUAGUUCGGAUUGCAGGCUGCAACCCGCCUGCAUGAAGCCGGAAUUGCUAGUAAUCGCGGAUCAGCAUGCCGCGGUGAAUCCGUUCCCGGGCCU
rnacentral:rRNA from 1 species